GUGCCAGCCGCAGCGGUAAUACGUAGGUGGCAAGCGUUGUCCGGAUUUAUUGGGCGUAAAGCGAGCGCAGGCGGUUCUUUAAGUCUGAUGUGAAAGCCCCCGGCUCAACCGGGGAGGGUCAUUGGAAACUGGGAGACUUGAGUGCAGAAGAGGAGAGUGGAACUCCAUGUGUAGCGGUGAAAUGCGUAGAUAUAUGGAAGACACCAGUGGCGAAAGCGGCUCUCUGGUCUGUAACUGACGCUGAGGUUCGAAAGCGUGGGUAGCAAACAGGAUUAGAUACCCUGGUAGUCCACGCUGUAAACGAUGAGUGCUAAGUGUUGGAGGUUUCCGCCCUUCAGUGCCGCAGCAAACGCAUUAAGCAUUCCGCCUGGGGAGUACGACCGCAAGGUUGAAACUCAAAGGAUUGACGGGGGCCCGCACAAGCGGUGGAGCAUGUGGUUUAAUUCGAAGCAACGCGAAGAACCUUACCAGGUCUUGACAUCUUCUGAUAGCCUAAGAGAUUAGGUGUUCCC
rnacentral:rRNA from 1 species